AUUGAACGCUGGCGGCAGGCCUAACACAUGCAAGUCGAACGAGUGGCGGACGGGUGAGUAAUGUCUGGGAAACUGCCUGAUGGAGGGGGAUAACUACUGGAAACGGUAGCUAAUACCGCAUACCAUCGGAUGUGCCCAGAUGGGAUUAGCUAGUAGGUGGGGUAAAGGCUCACCUAGGCGACGAUCCCGAGCUGGUCUGAGAGGAUGACCAGCCAAACUGGAACGGAGACACGGUCCAGCCCCCUAGGGGAGGCGCCAGUGGGGAAUAUUGCCCAAUGGGGGCAAGCCUUAUGCAGCCAUGCCGCGUAUAUGAGGAAGGCCUUCGGGUUGUAAAGUACGUUCAGCGGGGAGGCGGUACCCGCAGAAGAAGCACCGGCUAACUCCGUGCCAGCAGCCGCGGUAAUAC
rnacentral:rRNA from 1 species